GCGCAGCAGGCGCGAACACUUCGCAAUGCGCGAAAGCGCGACGAGGGGAUUCCAAGUGCAUGCACUAAGUGUAUGCUUUUCGUGAGUUUAAAACGCUCACGGAAUAAGGGCUGGGUAAGACUGGUGCCAGCCGCCGCGGUAAUACCAGCGGCCCUAGUGGUGAUCGUUAUUAUUGGGCCUAAAGCGUCCGUAGCCGGUCCGGUAAAUCUCUGGGUAAAUCGUUGGGCUUAACUCAGCGAAUUCUGGGGAGACUGCUGGACUUGGGACCGGGAGAGGUCGGAGGUACUCCAGGGGUAGGGGUGAAAUCCUGUAAUCCUUGGGGGACCACCGGUGGCGAAGGCGUCCGACCAGAACGGGUCCGACGGUAAGGGACGAAGCCCUGGGGCGCGAACCGGAUUAGAUA
rnacentral:rRNA from 1 species